ACUCAUGUACAACUCCCAGAUAAAGGACCUGAGAAAUAUGAGCCUGGAGGGAGCAAGAACCACCUAAUGUGGCUGGUGUCGCAGGGAAGGAAGAGAGCUUUUUGGAGAAGAAUCACAGCAGGGACAGGACUAAGAACUCUGCACUGAGGGGUAUUGGAACAAUAUGACAAAUCUGCAGCUUCAGAGGUCUCCAGAAACAAGAUAGGAGGUUUCCCCAUCCUAUAUGUCAACAGUUACAGACUCUCCUGAGAAGCUACCAGAUCGGUGACUCAUUACAGCUAAGGAAAGAAAUCGAUAACCAUAUGUUUGAAAAAAAUGUGAAGAAUGAUGAGAAGGAUUUGAUUUAAACGGACUUAAGGAAGGAAAUCCAGAGAGUUAGGGCUAUCACUUGACCAUAACUCUUCCUAUUGUGCUCAGUGUCUCAGAACAAUGAGUAAUCUUACAUAUCAUAUGGUUGGAAACGCCAAUAAAUUGACACAAUGGUGUAAUUAUAGAUGCAGGGGCAUCCGUUAUCAGAAGCCAGCUGUGUAUAUUAUAUAUCUUGGUAUACUUAUUGGUUCCUAUGUGUAGUAUUUCUGCAGAAUUUAUAUUAUAU